AGCGAACGCUGGCGGCAGGCUUAACACAUGCAAGUCGAACGCCAUCUUCGGAUGGAGUGGCAGACGGGUGAGUAACGCGUGGGAACGUACCCUUUGGUUCGGAAUAUUCUCGGGAAACUGAGAGCAAUACCGGAUACGGUCGAGAGACGAAAGAUUUAUCGCCGAAGGAUCGGCCCGCGUUGGAUUAGGUAGUUGGUGGGGUAAUGGCCUACCAAGCCGACGAUCCAUAGCUGGUUUGAGAGGAUGAUCAGCCACACUGGAACUGAGACACGGUCCAGACUCCUACGGGAGGCAGCAGUGGGGAAUAUUGCACAAUGGGGGAAACCCUGAUGCAGCCAUGCCGCGUGUGUGAAGAAGGCCUCGGUUGUAAAGCUCUUCGGCUGGGAGAAAUCGCACAGGCUAAUACUCUGUGUGGAUGACGGUACCAGCAUAAGAAGCACCGGCUAACUACGUG
rnacentral:rRNA from 1 species